GACGGAGGAUGCAAGCGUUAUCCGGAAUGAUUGGGCGUAAAGCGUCCGCAGGUGGCAGUUCAAGUCUGCUGUCAAAGACCGGGGCUUAACUUCGGAAAGGCAGUGGAAACUGAACAGCUAGAGUAUGGUAGGGGCAGAGGGAAUUCCUGGUGUAGCGGUGAAAUGCGUAGAUAUCGGGAGGAACACCUGUGGCGAAGGCGGCUUUCUGGGCCUUACCUGACGCUGAGACGCGAAAGCGUGGGGAGCGAACCGG
rnacentral:rRNA from 1 species